rnacentral:rRNA from 1 species
CCUACGGGUGGCAGCAGUGGGGAAUAUUGCUCAAUGGGGGAGACCCUGAAGCAGCAAAGCCGCGUGAGGGAUGAAGGAUUUAGGGAUGGAAAGCUCUUUUUGUAGAGGAGUAAAUUACGGUACCUGAGCAUUAAUCUCCGGCUAACUACGUGCCAGCAGCCGCGGUAAUACGGAGGGAGCCAGCGUUAUCCGGAUUUACUGGGCGUAAAGGGAGCGUAGACGGGUUGGCAAGUCUGUAGUGAAAGCGUGGGGCCCAACCCUAGAACUGCAAUGGAAACUGUAAGGCUGGAGUACAGGUGGGGCAGGCGGAAUUCGUGGUGUAGCGGUGAAAUGCGUAGAUAUUAGGAGGAACACCAAUUGCGAAGGCGGCCUGCUAGACUGUAACUGACAUUGAGGCUCGAAAGCGUGGGGAGCAAACAGGAUUAGAUACCCCAGUAGUC